rnacentral:lncRNA from 1 species
GUAACUUGGUGAGGUUGGACUGUAAGUUGGUGAGGUGGGACUGUAUCCAGGCGAAGUUGGGCUGUAGGCAGGUGAGGUUGGGCUAUAUGAUGGCGAGGUUGGGCUGUACGAUGGAGAGGUUGGGCUAUAUGAAGGUGAGGUUGGGCUGUAAGAUGGAGAGGUUGGGCUGUAAGAGGGUGAGGUAGGGCUGUAAGAGGGUGAUGUGGGGCUGUAAGACGGAGACGUGGGGCUGUAAGCCGGAGAGGUUGGGCUAUACGCAGGUGAGGUUGGGCUGUAUGCUGGAGAAGUUGGGCUGUAGCUCGGAGAUGUAGGGCUGUAGCUCGGAGAUGUGGGGCUAUAGCUAGGAGAUGUUGGGCUGUAGGAAGGAGACGUUGGUGAAUAAGAUGGGCUUGUGGGAGAAUACGCAGGGCUUGUAGGACUAUAUCCAGGAGAACUAGGACUAUAUGUUGGGGACGUAGGGCUGUAACCAGGGGAAGUAGGACUGUACCCAGGUGAGGUGGGGCUGUAUCCAGGAGAUGACGGGCUGUAUCCAGGAGAUGAAGGGCUGUACCCUGGAGAUGAUGUAGGAGAAAACGCCAUCCCGCCCACAUACGGAGAAAACUGAGCAUCUGAAACAGGAGAUAACCGAAGAUUUGGGCUCAGCAUAUAAUUUGGUGACAUCAUGCCAUCAUGAUAUGGGGUCCCUGAGAUGGGUGAACGGCCAGGAGUCAUGCCAAACUCCAGUCCACCUUCCAUAUAACUGGGCAGAGGGAUCUCAAUAGCUUGUUUAGCAUCUCUUCAUUCAUAUACAAAGCACAAUCACCUGUGCCAAUAGGUGCAAGCUGUCCUAACAUGAUAUUCUCAGUUACACCCCUGAGGUAAUCUGUUUCUGCAUACACAGCAGCAUCAAGAAGAAUGUCCACUGUUUCUUCAAAGGAGCAUCUCAUCAUGGGGCCAGUAUCGUUGCGAUUGAUACCAUGACGGGUGAUGGCCAUCAAGUGACCACGAUAUGUCAUGGUAUCACACAAUAUAGCCAAAUGUCUAUAGUUCACGUAAGACCCAUCAAAUGAUAUGACAACACGCAACUCAUCCAGCAAGGCUUUGCGAACUGCCUCAAUGCCAAGAACUUCAAUAACUUCAAUCAAAUGAUUGCUUGUUGUCCUACUUGCAUCUACAUCUUCAUGGCAAAUUACAGCUAAAAGAUUAACACCUUCGGUGUCAAGCAUCCACUCAUUCUCAGCCUUGAAGCCUUCAUUUUCAUCAAACUUAUUUACCUUGCCAUUCUUUAUGAACACCUUAUUGAUAUCUGGUAUGCCUCGAAGAGCCAUUUCUGUAAGCAUGUUACCCUCAAUCUUUUUGAGGAAGACAUCAUCCUCAGCAGAUUCAUCAUUCAACUCACCUUUAGGGGCUUCAUCAUUCAUAAUACGAAUACGAAGGAUAAGCUUUUCAGCAUUAUCAUCAUUAAAUAUGCACGUUAGAUCACUAUCAAAUUCAGCAUUAAUCUUAUGGGAAAUAUCAGCCAUGUUGAGUUUCUUAUCCACCAUCAUUUCUCUGUUUAACUCUAUGCGAAGCAACCACGGAGAGAUCUUGUCGGGGUCAACAUCAUCAUCUGGCAUCUCAAAGUAGGACGUCACAAAUUCAACAUCUUCCUCAAUAAUAGUGCUCUUAGGAUCUGGAUCGUACCAUACCUCUGUUGCUUGUGUUACACUCCGCAAGGUUGUAUACUCCAGAGCGCACUGGACAUUUUUGGCCUUCUCCUUAGUUUUGCUUACACCAGGCUUCAAGUAUACCGAGAGNAGGUAAUCUGUUUCUGCAUACACAGCAGCAUCAAGAAGAAUGUCCACUGUUCUCAAAGGAGCAUCUCAUCAUGGGGCCAGUAUCGUUGCGAUUGAUACCAUGACGGGUGAUGGCCAUCAAGUGACCACGAUAUGUCAUGGUAUCACACAAUAUAGCCAAAAUGUCUAUAGUUCACGUAAGACCCAUCAAAUGAUAUGACAACACGCAACUCAUCCAGCAAGGCUUUGCGAACUGCCUCAAUGCCAAGAACUUCAAUAACUUCAAUCAAAUGAUUGCUUGUUGUCCUACUUGCAUCUACAUCUUCAUGGCAAAUUACAGCUAAAAGAUUAACACCUUCGGUGUCAAGCAUCCACUCAUUCUCAGCCUUGAAGCCUUCAUUUUCAUCAAACUUAUUUACCUUGCCAUUCUUUAUGAACACCUUAUUGAUAUCUGGUAUGCCUCGAAGAGCCAUUUCUGUAAGCAUGUUACCCUCUAAUCUUUUUGUAGGAAGACAUCAUCCUCAGCAGAUUCAUCAUUCAACUCACCUUUAGGGGCUUCAUCAUUCAUAAUACGAAUACGAAGGAUAAGCUUUUCAGCAUUAUCAUCAUUAAAUAUGCACGUUAGAUCACUAUCAAAUUCAGCAUUAAUCUUAUGGGAAAUAUCAGCCAUGUUGAGUUUCUUAUCCACCAUCAUUUCUCUGUUUAACUCUAUGCGAAGCAACCACGGAGAGAUCUUGUCGGGGUCAACAUCAUCAUCUGGCAUCUCAAAGUAGGACGUCACAAAUUCAACAUCUUCCUCAAUAAUAGUGCUCUUAGGAUCUGGAUCGUACCAUACCUCUGUUGCUUGUGUUACACUCCGCAAGGUUGUAUACUCCAGAGCGCACUGGACAUUUUUGGCCUUCUCCUUAGUUUUGCUUACACCAGGCUUCAAGUAUACCGAGAGAGAGGGUGUUUUAAUUUUCUUAGCAACAUUAAUAAUCUCCCUCAACCUUGGAACACCUAAAGUUAACAAUUCUUGGCACUCACACCAGCAUAGUGAAAUGUAUUGAGGGUCAUCUGUGUAGCAGGUUCACCAAUGGAUUGUGCAGCAACACAUCCUAUCAUUUCACCAGCAGCAACAAGUGACUGAAGAAAACGGGAUUCUAUCUCGCCAACUACCCAGUCAAAAGCCUCACGGGUAAGUCUGUACUCCUUCAGGACCCUUUUACUUGCUAAAGCACUACGAAGCAAUAUAUUGAAGAAAAGAGUAGCAUUCUUCUGUGCUUCCAAACUCAGAUAAUCAUCACCAACAACCACCUUAAGCCUUUCUUGUAACUUAUCAACAGCUUCUACAAUCUCCAUUGGAUGCAUAUCAGACGGUCUCCGAAAAUCAACUCUAAAGGUCUUCUGUGCAUUCAAAACAAGCCUCUUGAUGUUGACAGGGAGGGGCCAAGAAUUGUCACCCGUGGUGGCAAUCUCUGUUCCAAGUUGAUACCUAUCGGCUUCAAGUUUCUGAACCUCUGCAUCAAACACACUGCGGAUUUCACGAAUCGUUUUCAGAUCUUCCACAGCUUCAGGUAACAUAUAAUUAGGAUUCCAGUUUGGGUGAUCAAUCUCAUAUUUGUACAUGUCAUUGAAAUCCGAUCUCUUCAACUUCAGUGAUUCCAAAGGCUGUGAUUCAAUCCAAACUGCAUCCAUACCAUCUUCCCCGUACAGAAACUGAAUCACAUCACCUAACGAAUUCCUAACAGUCCCAUCAUACUUAACCAUGAUAUCUUCCAUAGCCUUCACCAAUCGCCUCUGAAUAUAUCCAGUCUCAGAAGUUUUCACUGCAGUGUCAAUAAGACCUUCCCUACCACCCAUGGCAUGGAAAAAGAACUCUUGAGGAGACAAUCCUCGAAGAUAUGAGUUCUCCACAAAACCACGACUCUCUGGACCAUAAUCAUCUUUGGUGAAGUGUGGAAGUGUGCGAUCCACAAAACCAAAAGGAAUUCGCUUGCCUUCAACAUUCUGCUGACCCACACAUGCAGUCAUCUGAGAAAUAUUGAUGAAACUUCCCUUAGACCCUGCAGUGACCAUAGCUUUGAGGUUGUUACUUUCUGCCAAGCUCUUCUGAGCACUGCUUCCAGCAUCAUCACGAGCCUUAUUCAACACCUGAAGGCACAAAACAUAUAUAAGGGAAUCACCAGGCUGCAGCAAGGAAAUCAAAAUUUUUAACAAACCUGGUUAACUCUGUUCUCGAACGAUUCCAUCAUUGUUCUUCCUGGCUCAGCUUCCAAUUGCUUUUCUUGUGCAGCCCUGAUAAGUUCAUUCACCUCAUUCUUAGCUUUGUUAAUAGUUUCAGAGAUCUUCGUCAUUGUAUCAUGAUCAGCAAUUGUAUCUCCAAUUCCCAUGCUAAAAGCGUUCUGCAAAAGCCAAUAAUUGACCAGCCAUUGUGUAUGUCCCAAAAAUUUCCGAGCUGCAUCUGGACCGACUUCUUCCCUGAGACCAGUAUACAUUAUAUUAAACACAUAAAUAUGAAUAAAGAAUCUUUCGGGCUUUCAGUUCAUUAUUAUAAUAUUUAUUACUCCUUGUUUCAUGUGCCAUAUCAUAUGUUUUGAUGUCACAAAUGCUAUAAUAUUCACACAGAAGAGCUACUAGAGUGGAGGAAGACUGAUAUAUGCAAAAGCUAAAUUGUUAAAGAGUACAGAAAUUUUCAAUAAGAUACUCAUGUAGUUUUAAACUUCUGAAGAAAAUUAAUCUUCUCUUCUACAAAUUCCGAUGGAGUAAGCAAAGGAACACUUUCUUGAAAUGGCAUUAGUUUUAUUGAUAUCUAUAAUGAGUGCAAGCAUGGAGAUUGAUAAAGUGUUUUGUCUGCAAAGAAACAGUACCCAUUUUUUUGUGCCAAAAGGAGAAUCUUUUUGCUAGUGAAAAGAGAGGGUAUUUCAUUGGUAACUCAAGCAAGUUCUUUUGAAAGUAUUACUUCUUCAAUCAACAUAUUGCGAGUUCUGACUCAUUUGCGAGAUCCUAGAAUAUAUAAAUAAAAGACACCAACUUCAUUUAAAGUAUUUGCAUACAUAUGCUCCCAAUCCCCAUUGCCCAUAGAGCAAUGGACCAAUUUAAUACAACAUGAAUUCUUCAGAAGAUAAAAGUGAAAGUCAUGCUUUUGCUCUUAAAUUUAAGGUUGAACGAAAAAUGUGACCCGCAAACAGCCCCAUACCUCCAUUUUACCCAACUUUCCACUUAUUACAUUUUGCUACUAGAUACUUCAGGUAUGUUACCCGCAAUCAGCCCCAAUUCAUAAUAUGGAUAAGUUGGGUGGGCGUUUAGGAGACAAUAGUUUCCUUUCAAAACCCACCAAAUGCAGAAAUGGUACUGCAAAAAUUCCAGAAAGAACGUACCAAAUAACAUGUAUGAGACUUCCACUAGAUGACCCGAGUGUUUUCUUGCAUAGGGUGCCUGAAAGUAACUCCCCUUUUUCUAUCCGUACUUGAGUAUCCCCAGGAGUAAUAAAUCCUUUUUCAGUUUCUUGAUGCCAUGAAGAAUACCUUAAUAGAUUUAUCUGUCUUGGAAUGAUUAAAUUAAAUACUUGUUUCCCAGUCCAAAGAGGCUUAGGUUUCAGAAUUGUUGGAGCAGGUACUUUGCCAUCAAAAUCCUCCCACCACAUAAGGAUGUUCAUAAAAACAUCCUGCGAACAAUACAGACAGCGAUAUCAGAUUGAAUGUGGACACUUACCUAAAAAUUACAUAAUGAUGACAGAAAAUCAAAUGUUACCUUGUCAAUAAAAGUAUCUCUCUUAGUGAUUUUGCGACAUCCUAGUAGUGUAUCCUGCACAAUACCCAUUACAGGUCGAUUUGAUUGAGGUGACACGAUGCAUUUUGGAACCAUCAUUAAUUCCAGAACUUCGGCUCUAGUUUCAAAUGACUGGGGCACGUGCAUAUUCAUUUCAUCUCCAUCAAAAUCAGCAUUGUAGGGUGAGGUAACAGACAGAUUUAAGCGGAAUGUUGAAUAUGGCAUAAUCUUGAUUCUGUGGCCCAUAAUGGACAUCUUAUGGAGACUCGGUUGCCGAUUGAACAGGACAAAGUCUCCAUCAUUUAAAUGUCUCUCAACCUGUACCAUCAAAUAAUAGGAAUCAGGUGUCAAAAGGAAUCCAAUGCUUGAUCAUUCUCAAUUAUAUAGCUGGGAGUCUCACCUUAUAUCCAAGUUCUAGAUGCUGAUCACUACUCUUUUUCAAGUACCGGAGAUCAAGCCUCUGUCCAUCAUCCCUAAUAAUAUAUUUUGCGCCAGUUUUACCAGGAGGGGGAUGAGGUCCAUAUUCCACAAGCUCUUUCAAUCUAUUUUCAAGGUCAAUAUCUGGUUAACAAGAAUAACCAAAAAGUAUAGAGGGAUCACUAUCAAGAAAUAUGGUAAGAGUGCCUAACCUUUCGAUGUUAUAUGGAGUUACAGUUUCAGGAUAUGUAAGAUUUAAGGCAAUACUCCAAGGCACACCCAGCUGGUCGAUGUUGAUUGUUGGGUCAGGUGUAAUCACAGUCCGAGCCGAAAAAUCUACUCGCUUACCCAUCAAGUUACCUCUGAUCCUACCAUCUUUUGCCUUAAGCCUGCUACAUAUUGAUUUAAUGGGUCUGCCAGAUCUUUGGGUAGCCUGAUGUAUACAAGGAUACUUCACUUGUUAGAUAAAUGAUGUUCCAGGAACUGCAUCCACAGUCUCAAUAUACUGAAAUAAUAUAACAUACUCUUGGUUGACCAGGUAAAUCGUUAUCAAAGUAUGUAGCCACAUGGAACUGCAGCAACUGUGCAAACUCAGAGAUGAUGUGUGCAGGAGCCCCAUUCCGCUCCUGCCUCUUUAAGUUCUCAUUAUGCCUAAUGAUCAUGGCCAGUUGAUGAGUUAAAUCAUCCUGCAUAAAUUGAUUCAAUUAUUAGAUUCUCCUGCAACUUAAAAGCAGCAAUCCGAGGAACAUGCAAUUGAUUGACUUGAUCAGUUUGCAGUGAACAGAACCCGAUACACUUAUCUGACCUAAAGGAACAAUUAGGGGUAAUCUAAACACCCAUGACAUUGUAGAGAUCAAAAGGAGAAGUCAUGCCUCACUCCGAGAAGAAGUAUCCAUCAUUACAGAAGGCCUAACUGGAGGAGGAGGGAUUGGAAGAACUUGAAGAAUCAUCCAGUCAGGGCGAGCAUAUUUUGGAUUCAAGCCCAACAACUGACAAUCUUCAUCAGUAAUUCUCUUCAGUAUGCUGAGCACCUGAAACAAAAAGGAAAUAGAGAUUGUUGGGAUUAGCGCAUAAAUCAAUCUAUCACAUUAUCCAGGCUGGAAAAAAAAGUUUGAAUCCCUAUUCUCUGGCAAUUUAUGAUAUAUGAUACCUUCUCUGCAGAGAGAAGUUGUUUUCGUUCAACAGGUUCAGGCAUCUGGUCCUGGUCAUCACUUUUCUUCUUCUGAAUCUUGUAUUCAGCAACCAUUUUCAUCCCAUCUAUAGAAAUCUUUGGCUGCUGAGCACCGCAUCCACCCCUAGACUUCUUCACAGGUUCUUCCGAAUCUUGACCUCGCACAUCGAUCUCAUCACCUCCUUCACAUUUGGAUUUGUUUUUGCAGGCAUCUAAUAUCUUCUUUAAUCUAUUCUUAGGGUUUCUAAUUCUCAUUGCUUGCUUGAACUUGGGAUCGUCCUAGAAAAAUUAACAAGGGAUCAAAAUACAUUGCAAAAGAAAACGAUUGUUCCAACUUCCAAGUAACUUUAUUUCCAUUUGAAGUAUAAUAUUCAGGCAAUAAUGAAAAUAACUAACUUUUACAACAGCAACACUCCUAGGAGAUGCAUCCAGAUGAUGAAAUACCUCAAACUGCUUCUAUCUUACCAAUAUGCAUUUCUAUAAAAGUAACACAAUUAUUGAAGACAUAACAGAACCUAGAAGCCUAAAACUGGAUCGUUGCUAGUCAUAAGUCUUACUAUCCAGUCACUCUUGCAAGUAAUAAGAAUGUUACAAUUAAAUCAGUUGCCCAGUUCAGGAUGGUCAUGAAUAAGACAGAAGUCUGACCCUCCUAGUAUACGAACAUAUACAUGAAAUAAGCAUUUUCCGUGAAUCCAGCAUAUGUUAUACACUUCUGAAAAAUUCAGUCUGCUACUCAGGCCUCACAACAGCGGAAUCAAUAGUCAUACCCAAUAUGAACCAAGUGAGCAUGACUGUACAAAUUCAUACUACUUAAACCGAAAACGUCCAUAACUUCAAUCUAACUACUCGGGAAAUGUACAAUACCUCAUCCGCUAAAAUCUUAGAGCAAUUGAAGCAGACACUGCGGAGAAUACUGAGCACAGUCUUCAUGAAGCCAAUGUGAAACAUAGGUUUGGCGAGCUCAAGGUGACCGAAGUGACCGGGGCAGUCAGCCAUGUUCGCCAUACAAGUCUCGCACUUCAUCUUCCGAUCAAUCGUCCCCAGACGCGGGUCGCUCAAACCACCGAUCUUCGGCUUGCCUCUUUCCGUCGUCUCGCUGUGCUCUAUAUGCACAACAGACAUUUGUCUCUACAAAACACACCAUAAAACAAUAGACCAUCAUUUCCAACUCAAUCACACACUCAAUGCCGAAACUGAAAGUUCAAAACAUUCAAAGAAGUGAGAAUUACGAUCUCAUCGGGGCUGAGAAUGCCGAAUUGGACGACGCGGACUUUCGCGACCUCUGCCGGCGAGAAGGGGAACCGCAGAUCCAUUGCGACACCGGAGAUUCUACCCUAGGGUUUUCGAUUAUGAUUUAUUAUGCUAGCUGAUAUAUAAUAAUUCCAAAAUUAGAAACAAAUAUGGUUUUCAAGUACUUCAAAUUAUUCGCGGUUUCUGUUAAGUAACUGAUUUUUGGGGUUUUUGAAGAAAACUUUUUUCACGCUGCGCUCUUCUCUGAAGGAGGAGAGGCGGCUUUGAGACCAAAGAAGAGAAUGAGGGGUUGAAGGGGUAUUUAAAGAGAUGGAUGGCUUCGAAGUCGGCGCUUAAUGGGGUUGUUUGGCUACACAGUUAUGAGCUGGACAUCUUCCUCUCGUUUGGUCCAUCUAUUAAAAAAUCUUCUUAAUCUAUUUUUAAACAUAAUUUCAUCAACUAUUAUCCUUAUAAUUUUCAUUUUUUGUAAGACUCAUUUUUCACUUAUCAAGUAUACAAUUAAUUUUUAUUAAAAUUCAUGUCACCCUCCUUUAUAAAGAUCUUUGAGAAAUGAAGGGAGUGUUAAUUCCAAAUAUUUGGUAAAAUAAGUACAUAAAUACUCAUUUCGUCCCAACUUUUAGUAUCAAUUUAAGAAUGACACGUGUUUUAAUAAAGUUGUUAAGUGUGUUGUGAGUGGAAUAAGGGUCUCGCAUUUUACGUGAAUGUUAAAAUAAUUAAAGUGGAGUAAGGGUCUCACCUACUUUUACUAAAAAUAAAAAUGAAUAUCAAAAUAUGGAACGGCCAAAAAAGGAAAUAUGAAUACUAAAAGUUGGGACGAAGAUAGUAGUUUACAAGCUCUACAAAUAAGUUUCUACAAUUUAUAAGCUUUUCAAACUACAAACUUUUUACCAUAAAUUACUUUUUCAUAAUUUUAUACUUCCUUCAUCCCAAUUCNCUUAUAAUUUUUCAUUUUUUUGUAAGACUCAUUUUUUCACUUAUCAAGUAUACAAUUAAUUUUUAUUAAAAUUCAUGUCACCCUCCUUUAUAAAGAUCUUUGAGAAAUGAAGGGAGUGUUAAUUCCAAAUAUUUGGUAAAAUAAGUACAUAAAUACUCAUUUCGUCCCAACUUUUAGUAUCAAUUUAAGAAUGACACGUGUUUUAAUAAAGUUGUUAAGUGUGUUGUGAGUGGAAUAAGGGUCUCGCAUUUUACGUGAAUGUUAAAAUAAUUAAAGUGGAGUAAGGGUCUCACCUACUUUUACUAAAAAUAAAAAUGAAUAUCAAAAUAUGGAACGGCCAAAAAAGGAAAUAUGAAUACUAAAAGUUGGGACGAAGAUAGUAGUUUACAAGCUCUACAAAUAAGUUUCUACAAUUUAUAAGCUUUUCAAACUACAAACUUUUUACCAUAAAUUACUUUUUCAUAAUUUUAUACUUCCUUCAUCCCAAUUCAAUAGGCCACAAGACAAGGCUUGGACAUGGAUAUUAAGAAGCGAAUAGUUUAUAAUAAAAUACGAGAGAGAAAGUAGCUUUUUUUAGAGUAAAUUUGUGAAAAAAGUAGGAGAGAGUAGAGAUAAUUUUGUGGGAUCACAAUGAUAUUUGAUGUACAUAAUGAGUUGUGCGAAGGUGUUUGUUAUAUACUAUGAUUUUUUAUUUUAGGAAGUGACCUAUUGAAUUGGAACGUCCAAAUAAGGAUUCAUGACAUAUUUAAAUGGAACUGAGGGAGUAAUAUAUUUUACAAAAAUUAUUCAAUUAUACUUUAUUACUAUUUUCAUCAUAUACACUUUAAACCACUUUGCAAAAAUUAACUCAAUCAUAUAAAUACUUUCACAACUUAUAAGCUCUUACAAAAAUACAUUUUUAAAAUUUUUGAAACAUUUUAUAAAUUGCUACAAUUAUAAAUUUCUUAAAAUAAGCUUAUCCAAACAUCCCCUUAAUUCUACAACAAAAUUUUAACAAAUGGAGUAUAAAUGAGCUAUGAUUGGUAACAUAUUUUUCCUACAAAAAUAAUAAGCGAUAGGUAACAUAACUAGCGUGGGAACUAAGAAUCAAUCUGGUCUAUUAAUUUGAUUAAAUGAUCAUGAUUGAUUUCCAUAUUGAACAAUACAUAUAUAUGAUAAUGCAUCAGUUUAUGCCAGAAAUUAUGCCAUGCUGAUAAAUAAUACUCCAUUCGUCCCAAACGAAAUGUCCUAUUUCUUUUCGGUACGGAAAUUAAGAAAUGUGUAUAAAAUAGAUUAAGUGGGUUGGUGAAAAUUAUUUAAAUAUUAAGUAUAGAGAGAGAGUGUAGUGCCAAAAAAGGAAACAUGACAUUUCGUUUGAGAUAGCCCAAAAAGGAAAACAGUACAUUUCGUUUGGAACGGAGGGAGUAUAGUGCAUACUUAUAAUAAACAACGUAGUUUUAAGUGUGGUGCCCACUUCGGGGGAGCUUGUUGGAUUUAUAAUAAACGACGUAGUUUUCAUAUAUACAAAAAAUCCUCUUCCAUUGAGAUGGUUUCUUACAUUCUUGGCUUCAGCUGCGCAUGGCUUAUCUAUGCAUGCAUUAUUUUAGUUAUAAGCAAUUUAGUAAAUAAAAUAACAAAAUGGAUGGAUUAACAUUGCCACAAAACAUGAUGACACUAUUAGUAUUUUACUUCAAAGGGGAAGAAAAAAAAACUUUAUACGAAUGAAAGAAUGCCAUGUUAAACAAUCUCUCUUAGCCAAAUUGGAAAGCUAUGAGACCAAACAAAUGGACUACAAAUUAAAAAAGAGGUUAUAAAGUGACACGGGACUUAUACGCCACGUGCGGAGUUCAGCUGCCCGACUGCCGGAGUUCAGCUGCCCGACUGCCGGCCUGGUAUGAAAAUGAUUGGGUUAGGGUAGGGUGUCCCAUGCAACAAAUCCUCAUUCCACCUUCCCUUUGUCAGUUUCAUUUACCACACUAAGCCAUGUAAACAAUACCAACACAAUCACAAAAUCAGCAAAUCUAUUCGAACUCGCUUGGCCUAUGGUGAAAGCAGGAUGGAAAAGAAAGCAAAAUAAGCAAAGGUAAAUAUACCUGCUUGGACUGGAAGGAGAAAAAGAUGGUGAUGUUGGGCUGCAAAACCACAGAAAAUAAUAUGUCAAGGUAGCAUUUGAAAGAGAGUUUCACCAGUUCAGAAUAUAUCCUAGUCUUGUCGGGGAAAUAAAACAAAAAGAGUAAUACUCUAGGGAACAAUUUAUCCAGCUUCCUCUGUGGACAAUCAAGUAUAGAAACAGAGUAAUACAUUUAACCAAGGUUAUAUUUGUUAGCAAACUUGAAGAGCAAAAAUUAAAAUAAGGCUUGCCAAAAGUUACCUGAGACUCGGAGAAUAUGGACUGUACGGACUUGAAGGUGUGAUUUUUGGACUUGUAGGUGAAUAUGCUUGUGAAGGGCUAUACCUUGCUGAAGGAUUGUAACUUGGUGAGGUCAGACUGUAAGUCGGUGAGGUGGGACUGUAUCCAGGUGAAGUUGGGCUGUAGGCAGGAGAGGUAGGGCUGUAUGAAGGUGAGGUUGGGCUGUACGAUGGAGAGGUUGGGCUGUAAGAUGGUGAGGUUGGGCUGUAAGAGGGAGACGUGGGGCUGUAAGCCGGAGAAGUUGGGUUAUAAGCAGGUGAGGUUGGGCUGUAAGAGGGAGACGUGGGGCUGUAAGCCGGAGAAGUUGGGCUAUACGCAG